UGCCAGCCGCCGCGGUAAUACGAAGGGGGCUAGCGUUGUUCGGAGUUACUGGGCGUAAAGCGCACGUAGGCGGACUUUUAGGUCAGAUGUGAAAUCCCAAGGCUCAACCUUGGAACUGCAUUUGAAACUGUAUAACUUGAGUACUGGAGGGGGUAGUGGAAUUCCCGGUGUAGAGGUGAAAUUCGUAGACAUCGGGAGGAACACCAGUGGCGAAGGCGGCUAACUGGCUCGGUACUGACGCUGAGAUGCGAAAGCGUGGGGAGCAAACAGGAUUAGAUA
rnacentral:rRNA from 1 species